UUAUCCGGAAUUAUUGGGCGUAAAGCGUCCGCAGGUGGCCCUACAAGUCUGUCGUCAAAGACUGGGGCUUAACCCUGGAAAGGCGGUGGAAACUGAAGCGCUAGAGUGCGGUAGGGGUAGAGGGAAUUCCCGGUGUAGCGGUGGAAUGCGCAGAUAUCAGGAGGAACACCAAUAGCGAAGGCAGCUCGCUGGGACGUUACUGACACUGAGGCGCGAAAGCGUGGGGAGCGAACAGG
rnacentral:rRNA from 1 species